GUUGCUAACGCGUGAAGGCGAGCACUCUAGACGAACUGCCGUUGACAAAACGGAGGAAGGUGGGGGAUGACGUCAAAUCAUCAUGCCCCUUAUGUUCUGGGCUACACACGUGCUACAAUGGCCGGUACAGACGGACGCAAAGCCGCGAGGUGGAGCAAAUCCUAAAAAGCCGGUCUCAGUUCGGAUUGCAGGCUGCAAUUCGCCUGCACGAAGCCGGAAUCGCUAGUAAUCGCGGAUCAGCAUGCCGCGGUCGAAUACGUUCCCGGGCCUU
rnacentral:rRNA from 1 species